rnacentral:misc_RNA from 1 species
AACGCACCUUGCGCUCUAUGGCAAUCCGUAGAGCAUGCCUGUUUGAGUGCCAUGAAAUCUCCCACCCCAAGCGGUUUUUGAAUGAAACGGCUUGGCGGAUGGGGUCUGGAUGGGUGCCUCUGCCUGUGCUAACCUUUUAGCCCACAGGCUCGCCCGAAAUGCAUGAGCGCCUUGGGACACUUUGCAUCCGCCUCUCUUGUGGGAGGAGGCGGCCAAGCAGUGUUUUUCUCCAGGCAUGGCAUGAUACGUCAUUUGCUAUGUCGCCCAAUGGAGGAAUGUUUGGUUGUGUCUGCGUGUGCUUCGAACUUGCCUCUGUGCAAAAAUCCCCUUUCACUUCUGGUCUCAAAUCAGGUAGGAUCACCCGCUGAACUUAA